rnacentral:lncRNA from 1 species
AAGGAAACCGCAGCCACAGAAGCCAGUUCUGCUGUUUUUUCUCUGGUGAAUUCUGAGAGGAAAAAAAAUGCAGGAGGUGGGGGGGAACGAAGGAAGAAAGAAAAGAGACAGAGAGAAGGGGGUGGUGUAAACAACAACAAAGCACACCUCCAAUCCUAAAUUACAGCAGCCUGGGCGCGGAGGUGGAGCGGGUGUCGGUUUCCACCGAGCCACCUCCUCAGCAGCCCUGGCGAGCACCCUUAAUAAUAGCUCAAGGGCAGAGUGCAGAGGAGUCCAGGACCGCCCGGGAGCCUGCUCCUCCAUUCUUAAAAUCCAGCCGGAAGGAGCAUCGACGCUGUACCAACCUUCUAUUUAAAAGAGUGAAUUGGAGCUUACACUAUUUCUUUGUUGGCGUUUUUUUUUUUUCAACUUUAAAAAAAAUGCUUUAAA